GAUGAACGCUGGCGGCGUGCCUAAUACAUGCAAGUCAAGCGGCAGCACGGUCUUCGGACUGGUGGCGAGCGGCGGACGGCUGAGUAAUACAUCGGAACGUGCCCAAUCGUGGGGGAUAACGUAGCGAAAGUUACGCUAAUACCGCAUACGAUCUACGGAUGGAAGCGGGGGAUCGCAAGACCUCGCGCGAAUGGAGCGGCCGAUGUCAGAUUAGGUAGUUGGUGGGGUAAAGGCUCACCAAGCCAACGAUCUGUAGCUGGUCUGAGAGGACGACCAGCCACACUGGGACUGAGACACGGCCCAGACUCCUACGGGAGGCAGCAGUGGGGAAUUUUGGACAAUGGGCGCAAGCCUGAUCCAGCCAUUCCGCGUGCAGGAUGAAGGCCUUCGGGUUGUAAACUGCUUUUGUACGGAACGAAACGGUUCUCUCUAAUACAGGGGGCUAAUGACGGUACCGUAAGAAUAAGCACCGGCUAACUACGUGCCAGCCGCCGCAGUAACAC
rnacentral:rRNA from 1 species